rnacentral:rRNA from 1 species
GUCUACGGCUAUGCCACCCUGAACGCACCCGAUCUAGUCUAAUCUCAGAGGCUAAGUGGGGUUGGGCCUGGUUAGUACUUGGAUGGGAGGUUUCUGUGGCUGGCCA